rnacentral:misc_RNA from 1 species
AUAGCUUUGUGUGUAUAGAAAUUACAUGUAGAAAAUAUACCACAUUUGAUUAGUUGUGUUUCCUGCAUGCCCUACCAUAUAUAUAAAGACAGCAGAUGAAACUGAAAGCAUAGAUGCUAUGAAAGUAAAAUAACAAAGUUCAUUGACAGAAUCCCACCAAUGUGCCCAUUAAUCCAAUUAAUUACUUUUUGCAUGCACAGUUCAAAAGAUGAUUAAAUGAAAAUGCACGAUCCAAUAUAGCUACUCAAAUAUAAUCCACACACUGAAAUUGUCUACUAACUGGUUUAAAUAAUAGUUGGCCUCAUUGGUCCAAACUUUGUUAAGCAUGUACUCAAAGACUGUUAAUACGUUAUAAUGCCUUCAAUGGCUUUGGAGAGAUGAAAAUUUUUGCAAAUUAAUCAUUGGAUGGACUCAGUCACUGUAAACAAGGUUUAGCAUAUCCAAUGAAUGUUUAACAGAAGAUAUGAACUCUGUAUACAAAUAUGUUGAACUUGACUCGUCCCAAAAGUGCAAAACAACUGCAAAUCCAGCUAAUGCCAGAUAGCCAUGUAAGCUACAAGGGACAGUAAAUGGUGCUUUCUUCAUUAGAAAUUAAAUAUUCAUUUUUAAUUAAGUAUAUAUCUUUUUUUAGCCAAUUUACAAUUGAACAUUACUAUAUAAGGUUGGUAUCAAUUCCCAGUUCAAAAAACAGAUAUUUGAUUUCUAACCCCAAUCUAGUUUUGACAACUUCAUGUUAAAACAUUACGAAUGCUUCAUAUGGAAGAACUGUACUGCAGUUCCCUAAAUCCCUUAUGAAUAACUAGCUUCAUGGGGAACACAACUUGAUAUUGGCCUUCUCCAAAAGUUUUCUAUACUUUUCACAAAUCUCUUAGACAAAGUGAUCAAACUUCUUAAGAACGCUUGAUCUGUGCACUCCCCAGAUAUUAUCCACCAGAGAGUUAAAUGAUUGGGAGAAAAGCUUCCAUACAAAACAGAAUUGGCCAGAAUCUACAAUUAAGUCAAGAACAAAAUACCACUAGCAUCCCAUUCCCAACAACCAUAAUACAAACCCAGUUACUAAGAAAAUGGCAUCCAAAUAUUUAAAAAUGGCGCCUGAAAACAUAAGUGCACAAUCACCAAGGAUGAGAAUUGAUAGAAAGAACUAGAAAUUUGUACUCAUAGUUAUCGCAAAGGCAAUGUGCAUAUUAACACAAGACAAGAGAUCAACAAAAUAGUUGACUAAAACUACCAAAACUAAGACAGAGAAGGGAUGGUAGACAACUUAAACCUAAGAAUUCGUUAGCUUAUGCAAACAUGACAACAGCUGUACGCUAGAAAUCAAAACUUGGUUCACCAACUUAA